rnacentral:rRNA from 1 species
CUGCAGCUCAAGUGGUGAUCAUUAUUAUUGGGCCUAAAACGUCCGUAGCCUGUUUAGUAAAUGCCUGGGUAAAUCGUGUAGCUUAACUAUACGAAUUCCGGGUAGACUGCUAAACUUGAGACCGGGAGAGGCUAGAGGUACUCCUGGGGUAGAGGUGAAAUUCUGUAAUCCUAGGGGGACCACCAGUGGCGAAGGCGUCUAGCUAGAACGGGUCCGACGGUGAGGGACGAAGCCCUGGGGCACAAACCGGAUUAGAGACCCGAGUAGUCC